rnacentral:tRNA from 1 species
GCGGGAUGGAGCAGUCUGGUAGCUCGUCGGGCUCAUAACCCGAAGGUCGUAGGUUCAAAUCCUACUC